rnacentral:rRNA from 1 species
GACGGGGGAUGCGAGCGUUAUCCGGAAUGAUUGGGCGUAAAGGGUCCGCAGGUGGCCCGGUCAGUCCGCUGUCAAAGCCUGGGGCUCAACCCUGGAGAGGCGGCGGAGACCACCGGGCUUGAGUCCGGUAGGGGCAGAGGGAAUUCCCGGUGGAGCGGUGAAAUGCGCAGAUAUCAGGAGGAACACCGGUGGCGAAGGCGGGUCUCUGGGCCGAAACUGACGCUGAGGAGCGAAAGCGUGGGGAGCGAACAGG